rnacentral:tmRNA from 1 species
GGGGGCGACAGGCUUCGACAGAGGCUUGUACAGAUCUUUGGAUGCACGUCGGGCGAUCUUUCUGUAGCUCGUUAACAAUUCCGAAAGAAACACAGAUGCCAACCAAGAAUUGGCUCUCGCUGCCUAACAUUAGUUAGCUACAGCGAUGUCCGCCGGCAAGUUUGCUUAAUGCGCGCCGACCGGAUAUGACACAGUUUAAGCUAGCUCGCAUCGACCGCCUGCGGAUGCGAGCGAAACUUUCGCCAGGCUGGUCGCAAGUGAGGUCUUGUUGCUUCACAUACUCAUUUGCGGCGAGAAACGAGUGAAGCGACUAAGCGUGUAGAUUCCACUGAUCGCAACCUUUGGAUGCGGGUUCGAUUCCCGCCGCCUCCACCA